rnacentral:rRNA from 1 species
ACUCCUACGGGAGGCAGCAGUGGGGAAUAUUGCACAAUGGGCGCAAGCCUGAUGCAGCCAUGCCGCGUGUAUGAAGAAGGCCUUCGGGUUGUAAAGUACUUUCAGCGGGGAGGAAGGUGUUGAGGUUAAUAACCUCAGCAAUUGACGUUACCCGCAGAAGAAGCACCGGCUAACUCCGUGCCAGCAGCCGCGGUAAUACGGAGGGUGCAAGCGUUAAUCGGAAUUACUGGGCGUAAAGCGCACGCAGGCGGUCUGUCAAGUCGGAUGUGAAAUCCCCGGGCUCAACCUGGGAACUGCAUUCGAAACUGGCAGGCUAGAGUCUUGUAGAGGGGGGUAGAAUUCCAGGUGUAGCGGUGAAAUGCGUAGAGAUCUGGAGGAAUACCGGUGGCGAAGGCGGCCCCCUGGACAAAGACUGACGCUCAGGUGCGAAAGCGUGGGGAGCAAACAGGAUUAGAAACCCGUGUAGUCCCAUGAU